UGGGGAAUAUUGCACAAUGGGCGAAAGCCUGAUGCAGCAACGCCGCGUGAAGGAUGAAGGUCUUCGGAUUGUAAACUUCUAUCAGCAGGGAAGAAGAAAGUGACGGUACCUGAAUAAGAAGCUCCGGCUAACUACGUGCCAGCAGCCGCGGUAAUACGUAGGGAGCAAGCGUUAUCCGGAAUUACUGGGUGUAAAGGGUGCGCAGGCGGCCCUGUAAGUCACGAGUGAAAUUUUGAGGCUCAACCUCAAAGCUGCUAGUGAAACUAUAGGGCUAGAGUGUGGGAGAGGAAAGUGGAACUUUGAGUGUAGCGGUGAAAUGCGUAGAGAUUCAAAGGAACACCAGUAGCGAAGGCGGCUUUCUGGACCAUAACUGACGCUCAGGCACGAAAGCGUGGGGAGCAAACAGG
rnacentral:rRNA from 1 species